rnacentral:rRNA from 1 species
AUUGAACGCUGGCGGCAGGCUUAACACAUGCAAGUCAAGCGGAGAGAGGUAGCUUGCUACUGAUCUUAGCGGCGGACGGGUGAGUAAUGCUUAGGAAUCUGCCUAUUAGUGGGGGACAACAUUUCGAAAGGAAUGCUAAUACCGCAUACGUCCUACGGGAGAAAGCAGGGGAUCUUCGGACCUUGCGCUAAUAGAUGAGCCUAAGUCGGAUUAGCUAGUUGGUGGGGUAGAGGCCUACCAAGGCGACGAUCUGUAGCGGGUCUGAGAGGAUGAUCCGCCACACCGGGACUGAGACACGGCCCAGACUCCUACGGGAGGCAGCAGUGGGGAAUAUUGGACAAUGGGCGGAAGCCUGAUCCAGCCAUGCCGCGUGUGUGAAGAAGGCCUUAUGGUUGUAAAGCACUUUAAGCGAGGAGGAGGCUACUUUAGUUAAUACCUAGAGAUAGUGGACGUUACUCGCAGAAUAAGCACCGGCUAACUCUGUGCCAGCAGCCGCCGUAACAC